rnacentral:snRNA from 1 species
UCACCAGAAGAUCAAUUUCUUACACGAACAUGGUUCUUGCCUUUUACCAGAACCAUCCGGGAGUUGUCUUUUCUAAUGGUGUACCUAUACUUUUUGGGCUUUCUCCUCAUGUUGCUAAAU